rnacentral:rRNA from 1 species
ACGGAAGGCAGCAGCUAAGAAUAUUCCGCAAUGGACGAAAGUCUGACGGAGCGACGCCGCGUGGAUGAUGAAGGUCGGAAGAUUGUAAAAUCCUUUUAAGCAUGAAGAAUAAGCGGAACAGGUAAUGGUUCUGUGGUGACGGUAGUGCUUGAAUAAGCAACGGCUAAUUACGUGCCAGCAGCCGCGGUAAUACGUAAGUUGCGAGCGUUGUUCGGAAUUAUUGGGCGUAAAGGGCAUGUAGGCGGAUAUGCAAGCUUGGUGUGAAAGGCGGGAGCUCAACUCCCGAACUGCGUUGAGAACUGCAUAACUAGAGUGACUGAGGAGCAAUCAGAAUUCCAGGUGUAGGGGUGAAAUCUGUAGAUAUCUGGAAGAAUACCAAUGGCGAAGGCAGGUUGCUAGCAGAUGACUGACGCUGAGGUGCGAAGGUGCGGGGAGCAAACAGGAUUAGAUACCCUGGUA